GUCGGGUACGGUGAUAUGGCGCCCAAAACGUACAUCGGUAUGUUCGUCGGUGCACUGUGUGCGCUGGCCGGUGUACUUACGAUAGCGCUGCCCGUGCCGGUCAUUGUGAGUAAC
rfam:Anopheles funestus strain FTMOZ unplaced genomic scaffold supercont1.304, whole genome shotgun sequence.